rnacentral:rRNA from 1 species
AGAAAUUUUCCCUUAAGUCGAACAUAGCUUCGUGAAAACGGAGGUAAUAUUCGAUGUGGCCUUUGGAUCUCAUGAUCUAAGGGUUAAAGGUGGGGACCUUCGGGCCUACCGCUUUUGGAUGAUCUCGCGACCUAUCAGCUUGUUGGUGAGGUAAUGGCUCACCAAGGCGUAUGACGGGUAGCUGGUCUGAGAGGAUGGUCAGCCACACUGGGACUGAGACACUGCCCAG